UUAACUGAGAAGGGGACAGUCAUUCUAAAUGUGGUGGUGAUGUCUGCCACUGUUCCAGGGGGAGAUGCCUCAGACAAAAAUGGAGAAGGAAACUCAACAGGAACAAUCAUCUCCUUGCUUUCUGACCAUGAGUGCAGUGUGACCCACCACUUCAGACUCCUACUAACAAGAUGUACCCUUGAAUUCACAAGUGUCAUAAAUCAUCUUGCUACAGAAGCUAGAAAAGAAAAGAAAAUGAAAGGGAAGAAUUAUGUGCACAGCAGCUUUUAUUGAGAACUGAACAUGAACACCAAUAUUGCAGGACACACUCUUGUCUGUGGGCCAUUCACCGAUACCUGAGGAUGAGGCUUGCAUUGGAUGAAAGGUUAUGUCCUGAGUCUGGGUUAUGAGGACUUCACUGCUGAACUGAAACAGUCAAGGAGUUUAGAGGUGACCCAAAGAACUGCAGAUCCAAAGAGCUUGGUGAAGAGCAGAGGAGGUGAGGAGCAUAGUCAAGUCUCACGUUGUCACCAGGAACAGAGUGAAGACUAUGGAAUUCAAGGGAUGAUUCAAGACAGAAGGAAACAUUCACAUCGCAUCAAGACGUUCAGUUAUGGGGUAGGAUCAGCCCUGCAGAAGGGCACAAGGCUCAAGUAUCAAGCUGUAGAGAUCCAUUGACCUAUUGUGCAAGUUACUGUCUAGCUGCGACAAUUAAAUACCACAGCCAAAAGCAACGAAGCGGGGAGAAAGCAGGAAGUGGGACCAGACUACAAGGCCUCAAAACUCACGCCCAGUGACACACUUCCUCCAGCAAGUUUCAGAGGUUUAGUCCAUUAUCAUCAUGAUGGGGAGCAGGGCGGCCGGCAGGCAGACAUGGUGCUGGAGCUGGGAGUGCUACAUCCUGACUGGAAGACAGAAGCAAAAUUAGGAGGAUGAUAAAUUCAAUGUCAUAUUCAACUACUUAGCAACUCAGAGGCCAGCCUGGGGGGGAGACUGCCCCAGUGCCUUGCCUGCUGCCAAGGCUCUGCCCAAACUGUGGACAAGCAGAUUCGGAGAAUUGAUGCCCCACUUUGUUUAGACGACAGGAGCCUGGGAUAUCUGUCUAGUCAAUGCAGAUGUUACAAAAGACUCAUGAUGGACUGUUUCCAUUACUCUGCACCUAUUAAACCUCAUGACCACCAAACAGAAGACCUGGUCUGGGUGAAGAAACAUCAUCUGAAGGAGACUCUGGGUCCCUGAUGGAGAGGUCCUCACAUUGUGAUCCUGACUACCCCUACUACUGUCCAAGUCAACAGCAUCCGUUCCUGGAUACAUCACACUCACCUGAACCCUGCUCCUGACAAAAGAUCUGGCACAGAUGCUGGAAGAAGAUGGACAGUUCAUUGGGGCCAGCACAACCCACUAAAGAUAGGACUAAUGACAGACUGAUCCCUGUCUUAUUUUCUGUCCCUUGGCUUUAACCCUGUCUUGGGUGACCCCAAAUUAGUAUCAACCUACAGUUUAUGAAUGGGCUUCCCUAAACCAAAACACCCUCUUGGUGUCCCCUACAUCAGCUUGGUUUGCCUAUACCUUUCCUUGGCUUGACACCCUGCCUCUCCCUAGGGCAUUUCACUGAGAAAGACAAGCCUGAGCUUUGUGUAUUAGUUCAUGUUGUGCCUCAAGUCCUAUGUCAUGAAGGGGAGGCAGGAAGAAUGCAUGUGGGGAAUACAGGCUUACUAUCAAAAGGAGGGCACCUCCUAUGCUUGUUCCCCUCCUGAUAGGAGCAGGGACUGUAGGGUCAACCACGCUUGGGACAGCAGCUUUAAGUGCUGGGGAUCAUAACAUGCAGGUCCUAAGUGAACAAACCUAUGGAGACAUUUCUAACCUCCAUUCUCCCAUCUCUUUCUUGCAAAAUCAAGUUGACAUGCUGGCCGAAAUGGUCCUGCAAAACUGCCAUGGGCUGGACCUACUUUUCUUUAGGGAGGGAGGUUUAUGCAUGGCCCUGGGAGAAACAUGUUGCUUUUAUGCCAUGCUUUCAGGUAAUAACGGCAAAAGAAAAUCUCCUCAUUAAGGUGGAGGAAAGAAAACAAAGUUCUUUUCUUUCUUUCUUUCUUUCUUUCUUUCUUUCUUUCUUUCUUUCUUUCUUUCUUUCUUUCUUUCUUUCUUUGUUUUUCAAGACAGGGUUUCUCUGUGUAGUUUUGGUGCCUGUCUGGAUCUCACUCUAUAGGCCAGGCUGACCUUGAACUCACAGAUAUCUGCCUGGCUUUGCCUCCUGAGUGCUGGGAUUAGAGGCAUGCACCACCGCCACCCUGAAAACCAAGUUCUAACUGGCACAACCCUCCUCACAAGUCUGAUAGGUCCCUAACCCUCCUGUUCCUUGUUCUGCUGUUUGUACCCUCUGUUAUCAAUGCCAUUGCAUGCUUUAUUCAAGAUCCCAUAGGUGCUGUCAAGCUCAUGAUUCUAAGGGCACAGUACAACCCUCUAUUUGAGCCCCUAGACAAAGAUUCAUCUCAUUAGUCACAAGACAAGGGGGAGUAAAGGGAUCAGGCAAAAGCACCUUGGCCUAAGUACUGCUAUUUUGACUUCAGACUCCAUUUUACUUGCAGGGUGAAAUAAAGUUUAGGUUUCUAAGCCUUAGGGGGGCUGAGAACUUUCCAAUGGCUGAUCAACCUCCCCCUCUAAAGCAUAGAAAUAGUUGUUAUGCAUCUUUAGUUUUAGAAACAUUAUGGCUAUUCAUAAUCAUAGAAGGAGCAAAUGAAUCUGGUUGGAUCAUAGAAGGAACAAACUAAUCUGAUUGGUUGGACUGAAAGGCUUGCAUUGUAUAUUGACUGGCAAUGGUGGAACAUUCAAGGAAGCCCCUAAUCACUAAAUUCAGAUUGGUGAAAAUUGUAACUGUGACUUGGCAACAAAUGUUUGUGCUUUCAAACCCCACUUCCAUGCCUGCUCGGGGCUGUCAGGAGAAACAGGGCUCCCGAGUCCUUGUCCUGCAGCCCUGACCAAUCAGUGACCUGCUUAUGUGACGAUUUAAUAAAAUCUUUGGAAUCCA